rnacentral:lncRNA from 1 species
GGUCACGUUACGAAAGUAACUCUUUAAUAAUUAUUAUUAUUAUUUUCCCUCGGUCUCUCAUUUAAAUUCUCGUAUAGGACCACUGAGGUGACGUCAUACCUCGGUGAUGGAACGUACUCCACCUAUCGAGCAUUAUUCGGGUUCUGAGAGAAUUUGACGUUUACCUUGGCGGAGAAACGCCUCUCGUUCUUUACUUGACUGUGAGCUGUGGUGUCGAAUAGAUAUACCAUAUAGAAUGGCGGAUGAUUUCCUCCAACUUAUUUUAUCACAUAAGAAAUUUAACGUAAAGUAAAAAGUUACCAGCAAGGGUUGUCGAGUUAGGGAGACAUGUGUGUGACAACUCCUGUUGGAGCCAACUAGGAAUCAUUCGCCAUUUGGGAGAAACCCUACCAUGAAGUCAUAGACCUUAUUUGACCACCUAGAGAAACCACUACAGCCACAGUCAAGUCAUCAUGGGAGUAUGUCUAAUUGGGAACAAGCUAUGGGAGCGUUCCAGCUCAAUUUUCGUCUUGGCACCUGGGCCUACAGGAGUCAUGGGGUCGCACCAUCCUGGUGCAUCAUUUUCUAGGAUGCAACCGCAACCUCGUUUGGGAACAUUUAGUGAGGUGUUGUAGUAACUAUUGGUUUUUUUUAUAUUUCAGACUAUCUGUUAAAUACACUGUUUUUUUUUUCCAGAUUUAGGUUACCUCUGGUUUUUUUUUGACAUAUUUGUAUAUUAGAUUAUUUGGUUCCCAAACUUUGUAUCUACGGUAACUUCUUGUGCACAGGAAUAAGCCUAGAGAAAAUUAGGUUUUUAAUACUUUAUUAUUGCUUUGAUAUUGGUUUAUGUAAUUCGGGUAAAUUUAUUUUUUUAAUAUUACUAGCUUGUUUCCCAAAUAUUUUACUAUUAUUCGCUUUAUUCCAUUUGUUCGGUUAAUUUAGGUCAUCGUCGGUAUUCAUCUCAACUUCAUUUCUACUUUAGUCAAUUGUAUAUUUAACUUUAUUUAUUCAUUAUUGUAUUUUCCCUUAGUGAGGCUUGGGCCUAUUUAUUUGUAGUAUUUUCAUCUUUGUCAGUUUCCUUUAGUUGUACGUAGCAGGCGUACUAUAACCAUUUGGUAGAAGACUUAUGUAAUUUUGUACCCUAUAUGUUAGUGAAAGGUAUUUAUACCUGUAAUUUUGUAACAGGUAACAUUGUUGUUAUCUUAGGUUGAACAUAACUUUUGCAAACUUUUGUCAUGUUAGAGUCACAUAAUAUGAACUUGUUUAACUCAGAGAUUGUUAAAAAUCUGGUAGUUUACCUUGGCAGAGAAACAUGAUUAGUUAGUUUUAUUUAUUUUGUUCGUUUUUAGUCAUUAUUCAUCUCCAUUCAUUUUCAGUACAUUAUUCUUAUUUUAUUAUUUCAUCUUUUAGUCAUCAUUACUAUCUAUAUAGAGCUACUGUUCUUCGACAGGCAUGCAAACGAGCCGUAUCCAUCCUUGAGUGUCAAGUUGCUCUCUUGCAUCUAUAGCUAGCCAACUCUAUUCAGUUUGCCUCUGUCUCUUCCCACUUCUACUUCUAUCCCUUCUAAUUCCCCUUUCUUCAGUACUACUGCAAAGUAGUAUUUUUUCCUAUUGCGGCUUCUCAACGUAGAAGUCACUUCAUCCUUUCGUUACACUCACCCACUACAUCUUCUUUUCAUUUUUUUUUCAUUACUUCUGUUGGAGUAUAUCACUCCAACAGAAGUUCAUUUUGUUACACUGGCUGCCCAAUGCGUGGUGCCAACCGUUUAUGGUUUUAAGACAGUAGUUCUUUUAGUUCAUUUUUAUUUUAUUGGAAUUUUUGUAUUAUUAACUUUUUGAUAUCUUUGUAUACAUGUUACUUCUGAUUUAUUUUUGGUCUUUAAAAUUUUAUUAAUACUAAACAGGUAGACUUAUACUGCUUUUGGUUUUGAUUAGUUUAUUUCGAUACCUCAUUUUUAGUUUUAGUGGUACAGCUCAUAUUUUAGUUUGAAUUUUGUAUUUUUAUUGGAAACUUAUUUGUGUAUUUAGAAUGAGUAUACAUGACUGACAUUAUGUUCUAUUAUUAUGGAUUUUUAGUCCUUCUACCAAUGGUAGUAUGUUUGCACGUACAAUUAAUUAUUGACUAUAUGCAUAUAUUUUUUUUUCUAGUGUGGAUAUAUUUUACACCUAACUAGAAAUUAUUUUCAGUAUUUAGGUAUUUUAUUUAAUUUAUUGAUUUGAUUAUUUAUAUAUUUUGCUGGCAUUUUGAUUUGUUGGUGUGUCGCUAAUAUUUUCUCCAUAUGUAUAUUUGUCUUACAAACUUUAGAUUAUAUUUUAUAUUUGUUAUUUUUGAUAUUUGAGUUGUUUGGUAAGACAGGCACACACCACAAAGCAAUAUCGGUCCACAACAUUAGCUUCUAUACAUGAUACGUUGAAUUCGCAUGGUUCGAAUGGUUACAGAUGGUCAUCCAAACUAUUUUUCUUUAAUUGGUAGUGUUAAACAUAACAAUUAUAAUUAUUGUAUAGUAAAGUAGUUCCAUUAUCCAUCUCAGUUUCUAGUUUUAUUAUUGUUGAUAAUAAUAUUAUAUCAAUGUGGGUACCAUAAUAUAAUGCUCAUAGAAAUCAGAUACUUUAGGUUGAGAUUUAAACAUAAAUCUUUUAUUAGUUAGAAACAUUGGUACUUUUUCUAUUAAGUUUAGAACAAUCCUCAGAAGAAGAUUAACUUAACGGUGUCGUUCAAGCUAAUCUCUUCUUCUGUUUGUCUUUAGCUUAGCUCAAUCGUUAGUAUGGUUAGAAAUUUUAGUCUGAUUUUUUUUUACCAUCUGAUAAUGCAGGUACCUACAUACAUUGCUUGAUUUCAUCUUUGGCUUAGUUUUGAUGACUUUUAUUUAUUACUUAUUAAUUUAAUUAUUAUGUAGUACUUUAUGUAUGAGUUUAUUUUUUUGGUAUUAGGUAUGGUGCAUUUUAAUUAUUAUUAUGAGUCAAUAUUAUUAAUUGCUAAUCCUGUCAGUAGGAUUAUCCAAUUAAUAAAAACUUCCCUUGUAUUUUUGUUUAGUUUUUGCACACCUAACCCCUUAAGUUAGAAGGGUUGUUGAAUUAUUAUAUAUUUAUAUACUUAUUUGGACAGGUAAGCUCAUACAAGUACUCUUGUUUAAUAUGGAUAUUAUUAUGGAACUGUAUGUUAUGCACUACUUAUCUCAGGUUAUGUGUUAUAUUAUUUGGAAUAUUUGAUUACUUACUAAUUUUUUUUGAUCAUAUUUAUAUCUAGUUAUGAAUUUGCCAUAUUGGAAAGAUGUGGUUUUUAAUUUGUUAUUGGGUUACUCUAUUAACAUUUGUCUCAAAUAUCUUAAACACUUUAUAAUAAUUUAUAUCCUUCUAUCCUACACACUAUGAUUCUGGAAUUAGAUUGGAAUGUUGAUGUGAGUAUGUAUGGUUUCUUAAGUCUUUUAUUGAUUUCUUCUUGUGGACUAGCCUGUCCUUACUCUGUUAAUGCUAGUGAGUGAGUACGUGGGUUCGAAAUUCAGCAAUUGGCCAUUGCUAUCCGGUUUCGUAAUCUAUGUCCUCAUGGCAGAGUAUGCAGAUGUCUAUUCAUCAUCAUGUCCUAACUAUUCUUGUCUAAUUAGUCCAAUUAUUCCAGUUACAUAUUUACAAUUUGAUAGGGAAGUAUUUAGUUUAUAUUUUAUCUCGUACUUCAUAGUAUGUUUGUUGUUGACUAUCCCUAUACGCAGUAGGUUUGUUAAGUCAGUAUUUGGAGUGUUUAGACAAAUGAGUUGUUCAUCAGAGUAUAUUCCCACUUCUUUCCUUAGGCAUUAGUUGCUAUUCAGAUUCUGGAAUAUUUCCUGAAUAAUUCCACGUAUGUGAGAACGCAUGAAUUUGCAGUUUUAUUUAAAAUUGUGCUCGUUCUCGUCAAUUUUUUUUCCCUAUCACUUAUCAUAUUUUUUUUCUUCCUAUUAUUUAUCAUAGUGCCAUAGACCUUGUAAGUUCACCAUUCAUUCUGUUUUUCUUUCUUACUUAUUCUUACGUUAUAAGUACUUUAUCUGAGUCUGGUUAUUCUCAUACAUCUGUUGUAGCAACAUGCUAUAAUUCGCGAAUACCAGCACGAAUUAAGUUUAUGUAGUUUCUAUAAUAUUUUAGUCAGUACACUGUAGGUAUACCUACAGUGAUAUACCUUUGAUUUAGUCAGUAUACAGUAUACAGUCAGUAUACCUUUGAUUUAGUUUGGUUACAUCUCUGUUACUUAGUCUGUUAGUAAUUUUUUUAUUGUGACUUAUUUUGAUUACUUAGUUUGGAUAGGUUCAUAUUACCGGAUGAGGGUGUAUGUAGACCUAAUUUAUUUAUUUUGUUCAGUAUUAGUUACCAUUGGAUCCAAUAAUUUAGUUUAUUUAGUAUUAGUAAGAAUUGGUCCAUAAAUUUGCCUGAUCGUUCUUCUUUGGAUAUACUCCUAUAUAAAUCUGGUGUCCAUUGAUAGUCCGAUUCUGGAUAAGUGUCCGAUUCUUCAUUUAUUUUGUGUAUUUGGGUGGAUAGGUUCGUAUUACCGGAUGUGGGUGUACGUAGACCUGAUCUGUUUAUGUGGUUUAGUAUUGGUGUGAAUUGGUCCAUAAAUUUGCCUGGUCGUUCUUCUUUGGAUAUGCCUUUUAUGAAUCUGGUGUCCACUGAUGGUUCGACUUUGGAUUACGUGUCCGAUUCCACAUUUAUUUUGGUUAUUGAGUUUUGGAUUCCUUUGGUAUGUUUAUUAUUGCUAUUAUUUGGCAUUAGUGAGAGUUGUUCCAUAAAUCUUCCUGAUUGUUCUUCUCUGGAUAUACUAUUAUGAAUCUGGUGUCCAUUGUUAGUUCAAUUUUGGAUUAAGUGUUCAAUUCUUUACUUAUUUUAGUUACUUUUUUUUUAUUCACUUUGGUACAUUUACUUUUGAUAUGGUUCGAAUUGGCUCACACCUUUCCUGGUUGUUCCGUCCUUGGAUAUAUCCGUUAUAAAUCUGAUGUCCAUGGAUAGCUCAAUUUUGGUUUUAGUGCCCAAUUCGACACUUAGUUAUUAUUAUGAACUUUAGUACAAUAUUUAGUUUGUUUGGUUUUUGAAGCAAUAUUAAUAUUGGUAACAGAGAGUAACAUAGUAACAUUUUAGCAUGAGUUUGAGUCAUAUAUGUAUUUAUUUUUCCUGAUCAUUAGUUUAUUCUUAUUGGUAAUCUUGCGAAUCAACGUGGAUUGUUAGACUAUUGUACAUUUAGUUGUUAAUAUUUUGAAGUUUAGAAAAAAAUUUUAUGGAUAAAAUUUUUUUUUCCCAAGUAGAAGGGGAUUGUAACGGUCACGUUACGAAAGUAGCUCUUUAAUAAUUAUUAUUAUUAUUUUCCCUCGGUCUCUCAUUUAAAUUCUCGUAUAGGACCACUGAGGUGACGUCAUACCUCGGUGAUGGAACGUACUCCACCUAUCGAGCAUUAUUCGGGUUCUGAGAGAAUUUGACGUUUACCUUGGCGGAGAAACGCCUCUCGUUCUUUACUUGACUGUGAGCUGUGGUGUCGAAUAGAUAUACCAUAUAGAAUGGCGGAUGAUUUCCUCCAACUUAUUUUAUCACAUAAGAAAUUUAACGUAAAGUAAAAAGUUACCAGCAAGGGUUGUCGAGUUAGGGAGACAUGUGUGUGACAACUCCUGUUGGAGCCAACUAGGAAUCAUUCGCCAUUUGGGAGAAACCCUACCAUGAAGUCAUAGACCUUAUUUGACCACCUAGAGAAACCACUACAGCCACAGUCAAGUCAUCAUGGGAGUAUGUCUAAUUGGGAACAAGCUAUGGGAGCGUUCCAGCUCAAUUUUCGUCUUGGCACCUGGGCCUACAGGAGUCAUGGGGUCGCACCAUCCUGGUGCAUCAUUUUCUAGGAUGCAACCGCAACCUCGUUUGGGAACAUUUAGUGAGGUGUUGUAGUAACUAUUGGUUUUUUUUAUAUUUCAGACUAUCUGUUAAAUACACUGUUUUUUUUCCAGAUUUAGGUUACCUCUGGUUUUUUUUUGACAUAUUUGUAUAUUAGAUUAUUUGGUUCCCAAACUUUGUAUCUACGGUAACUUCUUGUGCACAGGAAUAAGCCUAGAGAAAAUUAGGUUUUUAAUACUUUAUUAUUGCUUUGAUAUUGGUUUAUGUAAUUCGGGUAAAUUUAUUUUUUUAAUAUUACUAGCUUGUUUCCCAAAUAUUUUACUGUUAUUCGCUUUAUUCCAUUUGUUCGGUUAAUUUAGGUCAUCGUCGGUAUUCAUCUCAACUUCAUUUCUACUUUAGUCAAUUGUAUAUUUAACUUUAUUUAUUCAUUAUUGUAUUUUCCCUUAGUGAGGCUUGGGCCUAUUUAUUUGUAGUAUUUUCAUCUUUGUCAGUUUCCUUUAGUUGUACGUAGCAGGCGUACUAUAACCAUUUGGUAGAAGACUUAUGUAAUUUUGUACCCUAUAUGUUAGUGAAAGGUAUUUAUACCUGUAAUUUUGUAACAGGUAACAUUGUUGUUAUCUUAGGUUGAACAUAACUUUUGCAAACUUUUGUCAUGUUAGAGUCACAUAAUAUGAACUUGUUUAACUCAGAGAUUAUUAAAAAUCUGGUAGUUCAUUUUAAUAAAUGUUUAUUUAUUUUGUAUAUCAUUUAUUUUUAUUACUCCUUUAUGUUCAUUAUUACAGGUUUAAUAUAUUUAAUAUUUGACAGCAGUGUAAGAUACCUGGGAGAAUGAUCGAAGAUCAUUUUCAUGGCGCCCAUGAUUAGUUAGUUUUAUUUAUUUUGUUCGUUUUUAGUCAUUAUUCAUCUCCAUUCAUUUUCAGUACAUUAUUCUUAUUUUAUUAUUUCAUCUUUUAGUCAUCAUUACUAUCUAUAUAGAGCUACUGUUCUUCGACAGGCAUGCAAACGAGCCGUAUCCAUCCUUGAGUGUCAAGUUGCUCUCUUGCAUCUAUAGCUAGCCAACUCUAUUCAGUUUGCCUCUGUCUCUUCCCACUUCUACUUCUAUCCCUUCUAAUUCCCCUUUCUUCAGUACUACUGCAAAGUAGUAUUUUUUCCUAUUGCGGCUUCUCAACGUAGAAGUCACUUCAUCCUUUCGUUACACUCACCCACUACAUCUUCUUUUCAGCCUCAACUAUUUAGUUACCUAGUCUUUUUUUUUCUUACUUCUGUU